AUGAACGCUAGCUACAGGCUUAACACAUGCAAGUCGAGGGGAAACGACAUUGGAAGCUUGCUUCCGAUGGGCGUCGACCGGCGCACGGGUGAGUAACGCGUAUCCAACCUGCCCACCACUUGGGAAUAACCUUGCGAAAGUAAGACUAAUGCCCAAUGACGUUGAAAGAAGACAUCUGAUUUUAACUAAAGAUUCAUCGGUGAUGGAUGGGGAUGCGUCCGAUUAGCUUGUUGGCGGGGUAACGGCCCACCAAGGCAACGAUCGGUAGGGGUUCUGAGAGGAAGGUCCCCCACAUUGGAACUGAGACACGGUCCAAACUCCUACGGGAGGCAGCAGUGAGGAAUAUUGGUCAAUGGGCGAGAGCCUGAACCAGCCAAGUAGCGUGCAGGAUGACGGCCCUAUGGGUUGUAAACUGCUUUUAUAAGGGAAUAAAGUGGGGCUCGUGAGCUCCUUUGCAUGUACCUUAUGAAUAAGGACCGGCUAAUUCCGUGCCAGCAGCCGCGGUAAUACGGAAGGUCCGGGCGUUAUCCGGAUUUAUUGGGUUUAAAGGGAGCGUAGGCCGCAGGUUAAGCGUGUUGUGAAAUGUAGGGGCUCAACCUCUGCACUGCAGCGCGAACUGGCUUGCUUGAGUACGCACAACGUGGGCGGAAUUCGUGGUGUAGCGGUGAAAUGCUUAGAUAUCACGAAGAACUCCGAUUGCGAAGGCAGCUCACGGGAGCGCAACUGACGCUGAAGCUCGAAAGUGCGGGUAUCGAACAGGAUUAGAUACCCUGGUAGUCCGCACGGUAAACGAUGGAUGCCCGCUGUUGGCUUGAAUUAGUCAGCGGCCAAGCGAAAGCAUUAAGCAUCCCACCUGGGGAGUACGCCGGCAACGGUGAAACUCAAAGGAAUUGACGGGGGCCCGCACAAGCAGUGGAGUAUGUGGUUUAAUUCGACGCAACGCGAAGAACCUUACCAGGUCUUGACAUCGAUCUAAAGGCUCCAGAGAUGGAGAGAUAGUUAUAGAGAAGACAGGUGGUGCAUGGUUGUCGUCAGCUCGUGCCGUGAGGUGUCGGCUUAAGUGCCAUAACGAGCGCAACCCCUCUCCUUAGUUGCCAUCAGGUCAAGCUGGGCACUCUGAGGACACUGCCACCGUAAGGUGCGAGGAAGGUGGGGAUGACGUCAAAUCAGCACGGCCCUUACGUCCGGGGCUACACACGUGUUACAAUGGCAGGUACAGAGAGCCGGUCUGAUGCAAAUCAGAUCCAAUCCUUAAAGCCUGUCUCAGUUCGGACUGGGGUCUGCAACCCGACCCCACGAAGCUGGAUUCGCUAGUAAUCGCGCAUCAGCCAUGGCGCGGUGAAUACGUUCCCGGGCCUUGUACACACCGCCCGUCAAGCCAUGAAAGCCGGGGGCGCCUGAAGUCCGUGACCGCAAGGAGCGGUCUAGGGCGAAACUGGUAAUUGGGGCU
rnacentral:rRNA from 1 species